GUGAAACCAGCUGUGGUUGACAGAGUAGCUGUUCUCCGUGCUAUCAACAGGCGAAUUUCUCCACUGAAACUAAUUCCGUAUUUUUUUUGUAUGGAGGAUGGACAUAUAACAUUUCUAGUGAAUAACUGCAAAGCUCCCCUGACAACAUUGUUCAAACAGAAUCUUAAAGUACCAUUUCAUUCUAUUCAGAUUGAAAUGAAAGUCGAGCUUUGUGCCAAGAAAGUGAGCCUCUCUGCAAUUCUGCAGAGAAUUAUUAAUAAAAGGCUCAGUUGUGAGAAAACAGUUUUAGACCUAUCAUAC